CCUACUGGAGGCAGCAGUGAGGAAUAUUGGUCAAUGGGCGAGAGCCUGAACCAGCCAAGUCGCGUGAAGGAUGAAGGAUCUAUGGUUUGUAAACUUCUUUUAUAUGGGAAUAAAGUGAGGAACGUGUUCCUUUUUGUAUGUACCAUAUGAAUAAGCAUCGGCUAACUCCGUGCCAGCAGCCGCGGUAAUACGGAGGAUGCGAGCGUUAUCCGGAUUUAUUGGGUUUAAAGGGUGCGUAGGUGGUUAAUUAAGUCAGCGGUAAAAAUUCGGGGCUCAACCCCGUCGUGCCGUUGAAACUGAUGUUCUUGAGUGGGCGAGAAGUAUGCGGAAUGCGUGGUGUAGCGGUGAAAUGCAUAGAUAUCACGCAGAACUCCGAUUGCGAAGGCAGCAUACCGGCGCCCAACUGACGCUGAAGCACGAAAGCGUGGGUAUCGAACAGGAUUAGAUACCCUUGUAGUC
rnacentral:rRNA from 1 species